GUGGGUUGUGCUUACCCAAGCGACUAGGUCGCCCUUUAUGUCUAAGAGAAAUGUAAAUUCAUAUUGAUGCAUAUAAAUGGUAGAUGAAUGCAAGAGUUAAAUGCUAGGCGAAUGCAUGUUAAUUGCUAUGCUACGACUACCAUAGAAUGCAUGAUGAACAUAUUAUAGAAAUGCUAAAUAAUGCAUGUGAGCAUAUGGUAAAGAAUGCAUGUUAAUGACAUAAUGUAAAUAUGCUUGUUAAUACAUGUAUGAUGACAUGAUGAGAAAAUGCUAGAUUAAAUGCAUAUUAACAUGUUGUAGAUCAUGUGAGAAAGAUUAUGCAUGUUGGCAUCACAUAAUGCAUGCUAGAUAAAAUGUGGAUAGUUAUGGAACUCGACAUGGACAAUUAGGAUGUCAAAUAGAUCGAGUGGCACUUAACCUAGUGUUAAAGAACAUAGGUUGUGAAUGAAUCUAGAGUCAUAUGAACUAGAUCGAGUGGCAUCCAACCUAGUGUAUUAAACAUAGGUUGAACAGGAAUGACAAUGUACCUAGUGUUAUUAAACAUAGGUCGAGUGGCAUCUAACCUAGUGUUAAAGAACAUAGGUUGAGAAUAAACCUAGAGUUAACUAAAUCUAGGUGUGUGGCAUUAACCUAGUGUCGUGAACAUAGGUUAUGGAUUGAACCUAGAGUUAAAGUAAACCUAGGUUAUGUGAUAGAGACAUUGAACCUAGAGUCAAGAGGGCCUAGAUAGUAAAGAACAACGGACCUAGAUAGGUUGAUAUUAUAGGGUUUGAGACCAAUCCUUGAGCUAUGUGAAGUGGAUUCCGGAAUCCCUAGGAAAGAUGGCUGCUAGUGCAGCGAAUGAGAUUUGCGACUGAGCGCAAGUGAAUCAAGACUGUGGGUAUAUUGGUUCUCCUCGCCCGACAGUCAUUCAACGGGUAUGUUGGUUCUCCUCGCC
rnacentral:lncRNA from 1 species